GGCCAGUUAGCUCAGUCGGUUGAGCGCGGUACUGACAACACCAAGGUUGCGGGUUUGAUUCCCGUUCAGUCCC
rnacentral:tRNA from 1 species